rnacentral:rRNA from 1 species
AACGAACGUUAGCGGCGCGCCUAACACAUGCAAGUCGCACGAGAAAGGGCUUCGGCCCCGGUAAAGUGGCGCACGGGUGAGUAACACGUAGGUAAUCUUCCCUCGAGUGGUGGAUAACCCUCCGAAAGGAGGGCUAAUACAGCAUGAGACCACGGCUUCUUCGGAAGCUGAGGCCAAAGCGGGCCUCUUAAUUAAAGCUCGCGCUUGAGGAUGAGCCUGCGGCCCAUCAGCUAGUUGGCGGUGUAACGGACCACCAAGGCAUAGACGGGUAGCUGGUCUGAGAGGAUGAACAGCCACACUGGAACUGAGACACGGUCCAGACUCCUACGGGAGGCAG